GGAGACCGCGGCCAGAGCCAGAGACCCCCAGCCUCCCUGCGCAGCUCCGGCCCCUCGCCCCACCACCACCGCCAUGGAGGCCAUCAAGAAGAAGAUGCAGAUGCUGAAGCUGGACAAGGAGAAUGCCCUGGACCGGGCAGAGCAGGCCGAGGCCGAGCAGAAGCAGGCGGAGGAGAGGAGCAAGCAGCUGGAGGACGAACUGGCCGCCAUGCAGAAGAAGCUGAAAGGGACGGAAGACGAACUGGACAAAUACUCGGAGGCCCUGAAAGAUGCGCAGGAGAAGCUCGAGUUGGCGGAGAAGAAGGCGGCGGACGCGGAGGCCGAAGUGGCGUCCCUGAACCGCCGCAUCCAGCUGGUUGAGGAAGAGCUGGACCGGGCCCAGGAGCGCCUGGCCACCGCCCUGCAGAAGCUGGAGGAGGCCGAGAAGGCGGCCGACGAGAGCGAAAGAGGCAUGAAGGUGAUUGAGAACAGGGCCCUGAAGGAUGAAGAGAAGAUGGAGCUGCAGGAGAUCCAGCUGAAGGAGGCCAAGCACAUUGCUGAGGAGGCCGACCGGAAGUAUGAGGAGGUGGCCCGGAAGCUGGUCAUCAUCGAAGGAGACUUGGAGCGUACCGAGGAGAGGGCUGAGCUGGCAGAAUCUCGCUGCCGGGAGCUGGAUGAGCAAAUCCGGUUGAUGGACCAAAACUUGAAGUUCCUUGCUCAGGCUGAAGAGAAGUACUCUCAAAAGGAGGACAAAUACGAAGAGGAGAUCAAGAUCUUGACCGACAAACUCAAGGAGGCCGAGACCCGUGCCGAGUUUGCGGAGAGAUCCGUAGCCAAACUGGAGAAGACCAUUGAUGACUUGGAAGAGCGUCUAUACAGCCAGCUUGAGAAAAACCGUCUGCUGGCGAACGAGCUGAAGCUCACCCUGCAUGAUCUGUGUGACUGACUUGAGAACGGGUCUGGUUCCCAUUCCUUUUCGAAACAGACCCGACGGAAAACCUCUCGGUUCCUUUUUUUUCUGUGCUUUUCCGAACUCCCCAACGCCUUCUUCACCCGUUUUUUGGUGCCGUAGAUAGAUCUCUAGCGCUUGUAUGAUGAGACUUUUGCAUAGCUUGAUAGACUCUUAUCUCAGGCCUGGGCAAACUUGGGCCCUCCGGGUGUUUUGGACUUCAACUCCCACAAUUCCUAACAGCCGGUAGGCUGUUAGGAAUUGUGGGAGUUGAAGUCCAAAACACCCGGAGGGCCCAAGUUUGCCUGGUCUAUCGAAGCCGGGAAUGGCACUGGCUCUUUUCCUUCUCGGUGUUGAGAAAGAAAGGCUGGGUUUGGUUUUCUCCUCCCUGUCUCCAUUCCUUCUUUAGACCCUGUUGCAUUCCUCCUCUUCCCGCAAACACGCUUCCUUUUGCAUGGAUGUGGCUGACUUAUUAUUUAGUAAAGACCUAGACAUAGCUGAUAUACAUACAUAUAUCUCUAUAUUUGUGUGUCUUGCCUCAAUAAAACCAACCGCUGGCCCAUUUCCAAACGUGCCUGGGGUGUCCUUCUCCCACUUGUGCUCUUCUUUGUGUUGACAAACAACCCGCGCAGCAGAGGCAAGGACUUGGAUAGAUAAACUGAAGUGCACCAAAGAGGAGCAUCUCUGCACGCAGCGGAUGUUGGACCAGACCCUGCUGGACCUGAACGACAUGUAACCGGGGCCGAGCGAGCGAGUGCACUCCGCCCCCCCCCCCCUCCCCUCUCGCCCUCCAUUGCCUUUCUAGCCUCCCGGGCAGCGGCCUUCUUUCUGCCGGGGGGGGCCAGCUCUGUCUUAAAAAUAUAGAGAGAAGAGGGGGGAAAGAAAGUAAAAAAAAGAUAUGAUGAUGAUAAUAAUAAUCAGAAAGCGGCCUGUCUCCCUUGAAAAAGCAGGGAGAAGGCUCCGAGGUGUAAACAUUCCAUUGCCAACUUGAACCCGACGUCUCUGCCAAUUCCGAUUCCCAGGCCAAGCGUUGGCCGCGGGACCCAAACACAGGGCAAUCGUGGUGCGGGGAGGAGGGGGGUCCCGGGCGGACGCAGCUUUGUCGCCAUAGGUCUUCUUUCUUUCCUCCUUCCCCCCUUUUUUCUCGUGCUUUGUUUUUUUGUCAUGCUGGGGCUUGCAAGCGGUUGGCUUUUAAGGUUUCCCGAUGUAACCAGCUCCACUUUCUCCCAUUGUGUUGUAUGGCUGGCCAGGUCCAUUCCAAGCCGUGCCCUGGCUGACCGGAACCCUCCUUUUUCCCCUCCUUUUUCCCCUCCUUCCUUUUUUCCCUCCUUCCUUCUUUCCUUCCUUUGGGAUCUGCCAGGGAGAACUCAGCACAGAAACCAAGCCCUCCUUAAACUCCUUUGGGUCUCAAGAUGCGGCUUUGGUUUCUUCCUUUGCCAAAACACAAACAAGAGAACGGGAAAGGUGCACUGCGCGCACACACAGACGCAUAUUUUUGUGGUUUUUAAUGCUAUUUCUAUGGGACGGGGGGACGCAACGGUGUCAAAAAUUGUCUAUCAGGUUUUUAAAGUGAUCGUAUUUCUCUUUCGCUCUUGGCACGCUUCUUAACCGCGGUCGUCGUUCCUUGCGCACCUCUUGCUUUGUCCCUCUUUCCUUCCCUUUCCGAGGUGCUCCUUCCUCCGGGGCCUCUUCUUCCCUCGCCCGCCUCCUCGCUCUCGUCCGCACAGUCUUAGUGUCUUGAUGCAAAAAGGGGGUCCCCGCAAGCGGGAUCAUCCCCGAAGCCGGGCCUGCGCUUGGCUUGUGUUUCGGUCCCUUUGGGGCCCGAGGAGGAGGCAGUGUGGGCCGUGGAGAAACCAGGAAAAACCAUAUCAAGUGUUUUGAUACUAAAACAAACAAACAAAAAGAACUUUUUGUCUUUUAUUGUCUCUUUUUUUGUUGUUUUGGAAAUAAUAAACGGAAGCAUUCCCUCGAUUA